GGUUAAGUUAGAAAGGGCGCACGGUGGAUGCCUUGGCACUAGGAGCCGAUGAAGGACGGGACUAACACCGAUAUGCUUCGGGGAGCUGUAAGUAAGCUUUGAUCCGGAGAUUUCCGAAUGGGGGAACCCGCUGCACGUAAUGGUGCAGUAUCCAUACUUGAAUACAUAGAGUAUGGAAGGCAGACCCGGGGAACUGAAACAUCUAAGUACCCGGAGGAAGAGAAAGCAAACGCGAUUCCCUGAGUAGCGGCGAGCGAAACGGGAUUAGCCCAAACCAAGAGGCUUGCCUCUUGGGGUUGUAGGACACUCUAUACGGAGUACAAAGGAACGAAGUAGACGAAGAAGUCUGGAAAGGCUCGUCACAGAAGGUAAUAACCCUGUAGUCGAAACUUCGUUCCCUCUUGAGUGGAUCCUGAGUACGGCGGGACACGAGAAAUCCCGUCGGAAGCUGGGAGGACCAUCUCCCAAGGCUAAAUACUCCCUAGUGACCGAUAGUGAACCAGUACCGUGAGGGAAAGGUGAAAAGCACCCCGGAAGGGGAGUGAAAUAGAACCUGAAACCGUGUGCCUACAAGUAGUCAGAGCCCGUUAACGGGUGAUGGCGUGCCUUUUGUAGAAUGAACCGGCGAGUUACGAUCCCAUGCAAGGUUAAGUCGGAAAGACGGAGCCGCAGCGAAAGCGAGUCUGAAUAGGGCGAAUGAGUAUGUGGUCGUAGACCCGAAACCAGGUGAUCUACCCAUGUCCAGGGUGAAGUUCAGGUAACACUGAAUGGAGGCCCGAACCCACGCACGUUGAAAAGUGCGGGGAUGAGGUGUGGGUAGCGGAGAAAUCCCAUCGAACUUGGAGAUAGCUGGUUCUCUCCGAAAUAGCUUUAGGGCUAGCCUCAUGUAGUAGAGUCUUGGAGGUAGAGCACUGUUUGGACUAGGGGCCCUCAUCGGGUUACCGAAUUCAGACAAACUCCGAAUGCCAAAGACUUAUCCAUGGGAGUCAGACUGCGAGUGAUAAGAUCCGUAGUCGAAAGGGAAACAGCCCAGACCACCAGCUAAGGUCCCAAAGUAUACGUUAAGUGGAAAAGGAUGUGGAGUUGCUUAGACAACCAGGAUGUUGGCUUAGAAGCAGCCACCAUUUAAAGAGUGCGUAAUAGCUCACUGGUCGAGUGACUCUGCGCCGAAAAUGUACCGGGGCUAAACGUAUCACCGAAGCUGUGGAUUGACACCGUUUGGUGUCAGUGGUAGGAGAGCGUUCUAAGGGCUGUGAAGCUGGACCGUAAGGACUGGUGGAGCGCUUAGAAGUGAGAAUGCCGGUAUGAGUAGCGAAAGACAGGUGAGAAUCCUGUCCACCGAAUGCCUAAGGUUUCCUGAGGAAGGCUCGUCCGCUCAGGGUUAGUCGGGACCUAAGCCGAGGCCGAAAGGCGUAGGCGAUGGAUAACAGGUUGAUAUUCCUGUACCACCUCUUUUCCGUUUGAGUGAUGGGGGGACGCAGGAGGAUAGGGUAAGCGCGCUGUUGGAUAUGCGCGUCUAAGCAGUUAGGCUGGUGAUGAGGCAAAUCCCGUCACCGUGAAGGCUGAGCUGUGAUAGCGAGGGAAAUAUAGUACCGAAGUUCCUGAUUCCACACUGCCAAGAAAAGCCUCUAGCGAGGAAAAAGGUGCCCGUACCGCAAACCGACACAGGUAGGCGAGGAGAGAAUCCUAAGGUGAGCGAGAGAACUCUCGUUAAGGAACUCGGCAAAAUGACCCCGUAACUUCGGGAGAAGGGGUGCUCUGGUAGGGUGCAAGCCCGAGAGAGCCGCAGUGAAUAGGCCCAGGCGACUGUUUAGCAAAAACACAGGUCUCUGCGAAGCCGUAAGGCGAAGUAUAGGGGCUGACGCCUGCCCGGUGCUGGAAGGUUAAGGGGAGUGCUUAGCGCAAGCGAAGGUGCGAACCGAAGCCCCAGUAAACGGCGGCCGUAACUAUAACGGUCCUAAGGUAGCGAAAUUCCUUGUCGGGUAAGUUCCGACCCGCACGAAAGGCGCAACGAUCUGGGCACUGUCUCAACGAGAGACUCGGUGAAAUUAUAGUACCUGUGAAGAUGCAGGUUACCCGCGACAGGACGGAAAGACCCCGUGGAGCUUUACUGUAGCCUGAUAUUGAAUUUUGGCACAGCUUGUACAGGAUAGGUAGGAGCCUAAGAAACCGGAGCGCCAGCUUCGGUGGAGGCGUCGGUGGGAUACUACCCUGGCUGUGUUGAACUUCUAACCCGCGCCCCUUAUCGGGGUGGGAGACAGUGUCAGGUGGGCAGUUUGACUGGGGCGGUCGCCUCCUAAAGAGUAACGGAGGCGCCCAAAGGUUCCCUCAGAAUGGUUGGAAAUCAUUCGCAGAGUGUAAAGGCACAAGGGAGCUUGACUGCGAGACCUACAAGUCGAGCAGGGACGAAAGUCGGGCUUAGUGAUCCGGUGGUUCCGCAUGGAAGGGCCAUCGCUCAACGGAUAAAAGCUACCCCGGGGAUAACAGGCUUAUCUCCCCCAAGAGUCCACAUCGACGGGGAGGUUUGGCACCUCGAUGUCGGCUCAUCGCAUCCUGGGGCUGUAGUCGGUCCCAAGGGUUGGGCUGUUCGCCCAUUAAAGCGGUACGCGAGCUGGGUUCAGAACGUCGUGAGACAGUUCGGUCCCUAUCCGUCGUGGGCGCAGGAAAUUUGAGAGGAGCUGUCCUUAGUACGAGAGGACCGGGAUGGACGCACCGCUGGUGUACCAGUUGUCUUGCCAAAGGCAUCGCUGGGUAGCUAUGUGCGGAAGGGAUAAGUGCUGAAAGCAUCUAAGCAUGAAGCCCCCCUCGAGAUGAGAUUUCCCAUCACUUUAUGUGAGUAAGAUCCCUGAAAGAUGAUCAGGUAGAUAGGUCUGAGGUGGAAGCGUGGCGACACGUGCAGCUGACAGAUACUAAUCGAUCGAGGACUUAACCAC
rfam:Bacillus sp. SG-1 1101501000774, whole genome shotgun sequence.